CACGGGGGAGCAAGCGUUGUUCGGAAUCACGUGGCGUAAAGCGCGUGUAGGCGGCUUCGAUAAGUCUGCCGUUGUGAAAGUCCAGGGCCUCAAACCCUGGGGAUGCCGGUGGAUACUGCCGUGGCUUGAGGACUGGAGAGGAGACUGGAAUUUACGGGUGAUAGCGGUGAAAUGCGUAGAUAUCGUAAGGAAGACCAGUGGCGAAGGC
rnacentral:rRNA from 1 species